CCUACGGGAGGCAGCAGUGGGGAAUAUUGCGCAAUGGGGGAAACCCUGACGCAGCAACGCCGCGUGAGUGAGGAAGGACUUCGGUCUGUAAAGCUCUGUUAAUGUGGAAAAAUGGCAGUUGGUCUAAUAGGCCGAUUGUUUGAUGGUACACAUAGAGGAAGCACCGGCUAACUUCGUGCCAGCAGCCGCGGUAAUACGAAGGGUGCAAGCGUUGUUCGGAUUUAUUGGGCGUAAAGCGCGCGUAGGCGGACCUGCAAGUCAGAUGUGAAAUCUCGGGGCUCAACCUCGAAACUGCGUCUGAAACUACAGGUCUAGAAUCUCGGAGGGGGAAGGGGAAUUUCGCAUGUAGGGGUAAAAUCCGUAGAUAUGCGAAGGAACACCAGAGGCGAAGGCGCCUUCCUGGACGAGUAUUGACGCUGAGGCGCGAAAGCGUGGGGAUCAAACAGGAUUAGAUACCCUGGUAGUCCACGCUGUAAACUAUGAACACUAGGUAUUGGAGGAUUUGACCCCUUCAGUGCCGUAGCUAACGCGUUAAGNGUUCCGCCUGGGAAGUCGGUCGCAGACAAACUACAAGAAGUUGAGGCUGAGACGAGACGACGACGACGACGAGGAGGAGG
rnacentral:rRNA from 1 species